ensembl:lncRNA
GGGCUCAGCCCAAGCCAUGUAUUCACACAGGUUGGUUACAGAUUUUAUCUCAUCCCUUUAUCUGAGGAAAUAAAAGAAUUCAUGUGAGCUUCCGGGAUUCACAACUUGAGUACACUGGUAACGGGGUGAACAUACUCCAGAUAAGCGCUCCUGUCAUGUCAAUCAACAGCCUAAGUUCUCCAGCUAUUGUCUGCUCCUGAGAAGGAAGUUCCGAAUAUCUACUGGUGAUACAAAUGGCUAUGGGGAAUGACUCUUCUGUGACUGAGUUCAUUCUCACAGGACUGACAAACCAACCUGAACUCCAGCUGCCCCUGUUUUUCCUGUUCCUGGUGAACUAUAUAACCACUGUGUCUCAGAAAUAAGGAUGUCAAGCUUGCGCUGAAGAGAACACUGAGGAGACUCACAAGCAUUCUACUGAUAUUCCACUUCCCGCAAUGAACCUCUUCUAGCAAGUCAGAGAUUAUCUGUACUUGUUAAAAUUACCUACUUCGUUUUCUUGAACAGUGAGAAAACAGGUUGCAAGUCCCUAAAGCAAGGAAGUUUCUAGAUGACUAGAGAUUCUACACAUGAAGCAAAUGAUUAUGGAAAAUGAUUCUUCUGUGUCUGAGUUUAUUCUUAUGGGACUGGCAGACCAACCUGAGCUCCAGCUCCCACUAUUUUUUCUCUUCUUGAUGAACUACACAGCCACUGUGAUGGCCUCAGGAACAAGGAUGUCAAGAUUGCCAUGAAGAGAACCAUGAAGAGACUCAACAAAUGAUCUAUGUAGUGGUUUUUGUCUUACAUCUGUCUUUUUUUCUGCUGUUUUCCUUCCGUUUUUGUUUGUGUUUUUGAUAACCUUUCCUUUAUCUUAUGCUUCUACUGUAUACGUUUUCUACAGUGUCAUUUUCCUUCUACCAUGCAAUGUUACUUGUAUCUGGACAUUAUCAGCCACUGAUACAUUUGCAUUUGUAUUUCAUUUGAUCAUGUCUUUUACCUACAUCAGAUUAAGACCCUCCUCUGCUAGCUUAUUUUAGUUAAGGAGAACAUUACCUACUACUUUUUCCUAUAAGCCUUUUUUAUUCAAGAAAAUCCAUGGACUAGUAUUCUUUAUGUCAAACUGAUUUCUUAAUUGUUUUUGUAAUUUUGUAUCUAUCUUUCCUUAUCCAAUGGGUUUGUUUUCUAAAUAUUCAAUAACACAGAUAAGAGGUGACAGUUGUCAAAGUUUUGGCAAUUUUCAGGUUAUUUUGCUAGUAGUUUCUUUUUAAAAAUUUGUGUUGCCUUUAUUUGUUUAACACUUUUUAUUAUUUGUAUAUAUCUAAUUACCAUAUAGGAAAAUUACAUGCACCAAAAAGUGAAACCUAUGAAUAAGUAAACCACAUUUUUUAUAUGUGUUUAAAAUAAAGCACAUUUCAUAUGCUAGACACUAUUCUAAGGACUUAUUUUAAAAAGUAACCUUGAAAUACAUGAUAAUACUGUACCAUUGCUCUUUUUUCAAAAUGAGAAAACUGAGGCAAAGAGAGGUUCAUGUACUUGUUAAGGGUAUAUAUAGCUGCUUAGUGGUAGGUUUGAAAUUUGAUUUGAAAUCUAAUGGACACAUUUUGCUAUGAAGUCCAUUCACCUACCUACCAAAUAUAUUACUUGGAAGAGAUGGGAGUUGUAUUAAAAAAAUCAUUGAGAAUUUACCAGAAUUUUGUAUUAAAGGCUAUUAGCUUCAAGUUUGUAAUGGCAUUUUAUAAUGUAUUUAAACUGGGAUAUAUUUGCUUGAGCAUUUAUUAAAUAUACUUCUUGCCCUCGUCUCUCAGGACCUAUAGUUACGGCAACAAAGCAGCAUUCUGAUAUUUCGCAGGAGUAGGGUUCAAAAUGUUGCUUUUCCUUCCUGAUAUGUGGACUACAUGAUUUUUUUAAAACCACUGUGUUAAUUUAUGGUCAGAAAACAUUGUCAUAAUAAUGUCUAAUCCAUUUUCCCUAUCACCCUGUUGUUCGUAUUUAAAGGAAAUAAUGUUUACAUCUGAAUAAUUGAACCACAGCUAGGCUUGUUAAUUAAUUAAUUAAGGCUUAUUAAUGCAGUGCAUGCAUGGUGUUGUUUCUGAGUUUGAUUCACAAGACCAAAACUAAUCUCUUUCUGUCUCUGUCUCUGUCUCUUACUACAUCUUUAUAUAUUGCUAUCUCUUUAUCUUAUAUCUACAUAUCGUACUGAAGAAAAUAGUUAUGAAAUUGUAGCAUUGCAAAAAAACUUCAUUAUUAUAGUCUAUAAGUACUUUAAAUGCCAUAGAAAUAAUAAUAUAAAAGUUAAUAUUGUAUUCAAAGAAAGAGGAAAGUAAAUUGCAAAAUAACAAUGUGCUUUCUAGAGAAAAUUUUCACAAUUAUUCAAAAACUAAGGCAUCUACUAUGAGAAUAUGAGCCCAGCCAAGAUGCUAUAAUAGAGAACUUUUCUGUCAGACUUCGAUGGUCAAAUAAAAAGUACAUAUAUUAUUAUUGAUAUCUCAUAAUAAAGUGCUGUGCUAAUGGUGAGCUACAUAAUAACACUUCUUGUUUGCUGUUAUUAGUGAUUGUUUUUCUGUCAUGAUAAGGUAUAGUAGUUUGGUUGAGUUGUCAGGUUACAAUUACCAUAUUAAAAUAUGUACUUUAAGAUGGUGUUAGAUACUAUUUCCUUAUUUGGAAAAAUAAUUAUAUUAUAAUAAAAAACAAGUAACAAUGUGUAUUGUUCAACACUAUUAUUUGAAAUAUACAAUUUACUCAUUAAUAGUGUAUAGAAACCAUAGAGGAGAGAAAAUAUAUGACGUUUGCCUUACUUAGACUUGCUUAAUUUACUUAGUAAAACCACCAUGAGAUUAUUAGUUUACUACCCAUGAAAUAACUUCAAUCUUCUUUGUGGCUGAUAAAAGGUCACUGUAUAAAUAAAUUUUAUCUUUACUCAUUCUUUGUCACCUAGGUUGGUUUCAUUAUGUAUUUAAUAUAGUGAAUUUGUAGAAUAGUGACUUGAAAUUGGGAAAAUACCAAAAAGUCAUAGAGCUGUGCCAUUUGGUAGAUCUAUUUCUAUUACCUUGAGUAACCUCUAUACUGAUUAUUAUGGUAUCUGGAAGUGUUUAAUUUCCUAUUAGCAGGAUAAAAACUAUUCAUGUUAUUCCACACCUUUCUCAGCAUUGAUGUUACUGUUUGCUUGAUGUCUGCCAUUUUGAUUGGGGUGAGAUAGAAUCUCACUAUAGUUUAUAUGUGCUGUCCUUUGAUGAUUAGUGAUUUCGAAUAUUUUAAAAUGUUUACUGGCUACUUUUGUUUUGUUAUUUGACAGAUUUGUGUACAUUUUUAUUAGCCUUUUCACUGAUUGUUUGGUUUGGUUUGAAGUGCUUAGUUUAAAGAAUUGUAUAGUCAAGAUAUUUAUCUGAAUGUAUAGAUAUUAAAUAUUUUCAU